rnacentral:rRNA from 1 species
CUCUUAAGAUUGAGCUGUGAUGGGGAGAGGAACUUGUUCCUCGAGUCGUUGAUUUCACACUGCCGAGAAAAGCCUCUAGCUAGAAUAACGGUGCCCGUACCGCAAACCGACACAGGUAGUCAAGAUGAGAAUUCUAAGGUGAGCGAGCGAACUCUCGUUAAGGAACUCGGCAAAAUGACCCCGUAACUUCGGGAGAAGGGGUGCUCUUUGAGGUUCACGCUUCGAAGAGCCGCAGUGAAUAGGCCCAAGCGACUGUUUAUCAAAAACACAGGUCUCUGCUAAACCGUAAGGUGACGUAUAGGGGCUGACGCCUGCCCGGUGCUGGAAGGUUAAGAGGAGUGGUUAGCGCAAGCGAAGCUACGAAUCGAAGCCCCAGUAAACGGCGGCCGUAACUAUAACGGUCCUAAGGUAGCGAAAUUCCUUGUCGGGUAAGUUCCGACCCGCACGAAAGGCGUAACGAUUUGGGCACUGUCUCAACGAGAGACUCGGUGAAAUCAUAGUA